UACGAAGGGGGCUAGCGUUGCUCGGAAUCACUGGGCGUAAAGCGCACGUAGGCGGCUUGUUAAGUUAGAGGUGAAAGCCCAGGGCUCAACCCUGGAAUAGCCUUUAAUACUGGAUGUCUUGAGUUCGGGAGAGGUGAGUGGAAUGCCGAGUGUAGAGGUGAAAUUCGUAGAUAUUCGGCGGAACACCAGUGGCGAAGGCGACUCACUGGCCCGAUACUGACGCUGAGGCGCGAAAGCGUGGGGAGCAAACAGG
rnacentral:rRNA from 1 species